GAUGAACGCUAGCUGCAGGCUUAACACAUGCAAGUCGAGGGACCGGCGCACGGGUGAGUAAAACGUAUCCAACCUGCCCUUUACUCGGGGAUAGCCUAUCGAAAGAAAGAUUAAUACCCGAUAUAAAGGAUGGGGAUGCGUUCCAUUAGGUUUUGGGUGAGGUAACGGCUCACCAAGCCUUCGAUGGAUAGGGGUUCUGAUAGGAAGGCACCCCACAUUUGAACUGCGACACGGUCCACACUCCUACCAGAGGCAGCAGGGCGUAGUAUUGGUCAAUGGGCGCUAGCCUGAACCAGCCACGUCGCGUGAAGGAGGAAGGCUCAUGGGUCGUAAACUUCUUUUAUAUAAGAAUAUGUAUUAGAUGAAUAAGGAUCGGCUAACUCCGUGCCAGCCGCCGCGGUAAUUC
rnacentral:rRNA from 1 species